rnacentral:rRNA from 1 species
GGUCCCGCCUGCCCUGUGACUAUUUGUUUAACGGCCGCGGUAUUUUGACCGUGCGAAGGUAGCGCAAUCACUUGUCUUUUAAAUGGAGACCCGUAUGAAUGGCAUAACGAGGGCUUAACUGUCUCCUCUUUCAAGUCAAUGAAAUUGAUCUCCCCGUGCAGAAGCGGGGAUAAGAACAUAAGACGAGAAGACCCUAUGGAGCUUUAGACACAAGGCAGCUCACGUUAAGCACCCUAGAUAAAGGACUAAACCAAAUGAGCCCUGCUUCAAUGUCUUUGGUUGGGGCGACCACGGGGAACUAAAUAACCCCCACGUGGAACGAGAGCACUCCUCCCACAGCUAAGAGCUACAGCUCUAGUAAACAGAAUUUCUGACCAGCAAGAUCCGGCACUGCCGAUCAACGGACCGAGUUACCCUAGGGAUAACAGCGCAAUCCUCUUUUAGAGCCCAUAUCGACAAGGGGGUUUACGACCUCGAUGUUGGAUCAGGACAUCCUAAUGGUGCAGCCGCUAUUAAGGGUUCGUUUGUUCAACGAUUAAAGUCCUACGUGAUCU